rnacentral:rRNA from 1 species
GACGAACCGUGCGAACGUUGUCCGGAAUCAUUGGGCGUAAAGAGCUCGUAGGCGGCUCAGUAAGUCGGGUGUGAAGCCUCCAGGCUCAACCUGGAGACGCCACCCGAUACUGCUGUGGCUAGAGUCCAGUAGGGGAGUGUGGAAUUCCCGGUGUAGCGGUGAAAUGCGCAGAUAUCGGGAGGAACACCAGCGGCGAAGGCGGCACUCUGGGCUGGUACUGACGCUGAGGAGCGAAAGCGUGGGUAGCAAACAGG